rnacentral:rRNA from 1 species
AACUGGGUAUAAUACCCGAUAGUCCUCGGCCGCUGGAAUGCCCCGAGUACUAAAGCUCCGGCGCCUAAGGAUGGGUCUGCGGCCUAUCAGGUAGUAGUGGGUGUAGCGUACCUACUAGCCUACGACGGGUACGGGUUGUGAGAGCAAGAGCCCGGAGAUGGAUUCUGAGACACGAAUCCAGGCCCUGCGGGGUGCAGCAGGCGCGAAAACUUUACAAUGCCGGCAACGGCGAUAAGGGGACCUCGAGUGCCAGGUUACAAAUCUGGCUGUCGUGAUGCCUAAAAAGCAUUGCAUAGCAAGGGCCGGGCAAGACCGGUGCCAGCCGCCGCGGUAACACCGGCGGCUCGAGUGGUAACCGUUAUUAUUGGGUCUAAAGGGUCUGUAGCCGGCCGGAUAAGUCUCUUGGGAAAUCUGGCAGCUUAACUGUCAGGCUUUCAGGAGAUACUGUCUGGCUCGAGGCCGGGAGAGGUGAGAGGUACUUCAGGGGUAGGGGUGAAAUCUUGUAAUCCUUGAAGGACCACCAGUGGCGAAGGCGUCUCACCAGAACGGACCUGACGGCAAGGGACGAAAGCUAGGGGCACGAACCGGAUUAGAUACCCGGGUAGUCCUAGCCGUAAACGAUACUCGCUAGGUGUCGGCCACGGUGCGACCGUUGUCGGUGCCGUAGGGAAGCCGUGAAGCGAGCCACCUGGGAAGUACGGCCGCAAGGCUGAACUUAAAGGAAUUGGCGGGGGAGCACCACAACGGGUGGAGCUUGCGGUUUAAUUGGAUUCAACGCCGGAAAUCUUACCGGGACCGACAGCAAUAUGAAGGCCAGGCUGAAGACUUUGCCGGAUUAGCUGAGAGGUGGUGCAUGGCCGUCGUCAGUUCGUACUGUGAAGCAUCCUGUUAAGUC